GAUGAACGCUAGCGGCAGGCUUAAUACAUGCAAGUCGAGGGGCAGCAUGAAGUCGCAAUCCUUUGAUGGCGACCGGCAAACGGGUGCGGAACACGUACACAACCUUCCUUUAAGUGGGGAAUAGCCCAGAGAAAUUUGGAUUAAUACCCCGUAACACAACGAAGUGGCAUCACUUUGUUGUUAUAGUUUCGGCGCUUAAUGAUGGGUGUGCGUAUGAUUAGAUAGUUGGCGAGGUAACGGCUCACCAAGUCUACGAUCAUUAGCUGAUGUGAGAGCAUGAUCAGCCACACGGGCACUGAGACACGGGCCCGACUCCUACGGGAGGCAGCAGUAAGGAAUAUUGGUCAAUGGACGCAAGUCUGAACCAGCCAUGCCGCGUGAAGGAUUAAGGUCCUCUGGAUUGUAAACUUCUUUUAUAUGGGACGAAAAAAGGUCUUUCUAGACCCCUUGACGGUACCAUAUGAAUAAGCACCGGCUAACUCCGUG
rnacentral:rRNA from 1 species